rnacentral:snRNA from 1 species
GUGCUCAAUUCGGCACACAUUUACUAAAAUUGGAAUGACACAGAGAAGAUUAGCAUGGUCUCUGCACAAGGAUGACACGCAAAUUCAUGAAGGGUUCCGUAUUUUU